rnacentral:rRNA from 1 species
CGCAAACUUUUUUUUCGAUAUGAACUCUAAAAAAAAAUAACGCUGUUAUCCCUAAGGUAAUUUAAUCUUAUAAUCAUAAUAAUAUGGCUCACUUACUCAUAAAUCAAUGUUUUUAUAUAAAAAAAGUUACUUUAAUUUUUUAGUUGCCCCAACUAAAUAUGUAUACAUAUAUUUAAAUCUAAAAUACUAAAACUUUUAAAUAUAUAUAUAAAUAUAAAAUUCUAUAGGGUCUUCUCGUCUUUUAAAAUCAUUUAAGCUUUUUUACUUAAAAAUAAAAUUCUAAUUUAAAUUAAAUUGAGACAGUCUCUCCCUCGUCAAACCUUUCAUACCAGUUCUCAAUUAAAAAACUAAUUAUUAUGCUACCUUUGCACGGUCAAAAUACCGCGGCCAUUUAAAAUAUAUUCAUAGGGCAGGCCAGACUUUAAAUUAUAAUCAAAAAGACAU